rnacentral:rRNA from 1 species
GACGAACGCUGGCGGCGUGCCUAAUACAUGCAAGUAGAACGCUGAAGGAGGAGCUUGCUUCUCUGGAUGAGUUGCGAACGGGUGAGUAACGCGUAGGUAACCUGCCUGGUAGCGGGGGAUAACUAUUGGAAACGAUAGCUAAUACCGCAUAAUAGCAGUUGUUGCAUGAUAACUGUUUGAAAGGUGCAAUUGCACCACUACCAGAUGGACCUGCGUUGUAUUAUCUAGUUGGUGGGGUAACGGCUCACCAAGGCGACGAUACAUAGCCGACCUGAGAGGGUGAUCGGCCACACUGGGACUGAGACACGGCCCAGACUCCUACGGGAGGCAGCAGUAGGGAAUCUUCGGCAAUGGACGGAAGUCUGACCGAGCAACGCCGCGUGAGUGAAGAAGGUUUUCGGAUCGUAAAGCUCUGUUGUAAGAGAAGAACAAGUGUGAGAGUGGAAAGUUCACACUGUGACGGUAUCUUACCAGAAAGGGACGGCGAACUACGUGC